GUUUAUGACCAGACCACCCAGAAUGCACCGAUCUCGUCGGAUCUCAGAAGCUAUGUAGGAUUCAGCCUGGAUAGUUCAUGGAUGGGCGAUCAACAUGCAUUCACAUUCUUAGGCU
rnacentral:rRNA from 1 species